rnacentral:rRNA from 1 species
UAUGGCCAUACCACCCUGAACGAGACGAUCUCGUCUGAUCUCGGAAGCUAAGCUGGGUCGGGCCUGGUUAGUACUUGGAUGGGAGAAUGCCGGGGGACUCAGGCAGGACCCACUG